UACGUAGGGUGCGAGCGUUGUCCGGAAUUAUUGGGCGUAAAGAGCUUGUAGGUGGUUUGUCGCGUCUGCUGUGAAAAUCCGAGGCUCAACCUCGGACUUGCAGUGGGUACGGGCAGACUAGAGUGUGGUAGGGGAGACUGGAAUUCCUGGUGUAGCGGUGGAAUGCGCAGAUAUCAGGAGGAACACCGAUGGCGAAGGCAGGUCUCUGG
rnacentral:rRNA from 1 species